ensembl:rRNA 5S_rRNA 5S ribosomal RNA
GUCUAUGGCCAUACCACCCUGAAUGUGCCCGCUUUCAUCUGAUCUCAGAAGCUAAGCACGGUUGGGCCUGGUUAGUACUUGGAUAGGAGUACAAUCAGGCUUACACAGGGGCAGAGGUAGGUUUCUGUGGUGU